rnacentral:rRNA from 1 species
UACGUAGGCAGCAAGCGUUGUUCGGAGUUACUGGGCGUAAAGGGUGUGUAGGCGGUUCUUUAAGUUUGCUGUGAAAUCUCCCGGCUUAACCGGGAGGGUGCGGUGAAUACUGAGGGACUAGAGUACGGGAGAGGAAAGUGGAAUUCCUGGUGUAGCGGUGAAAUGCGUAGAUAUCAGGAGGAACACCGGUGGUGUAGACGGCUUUCUGGACCGACACUGACGCUGAGACACGAAAAGCGUGGGGUAGCAAACAGG